rnacentral:lncRNA from 1 species
AACAUCUUUCUUUAAAUUUUUAUUACAAAAUAUGGGAUGAAUAUGGAUGAGUACCUCUGCUUGGCCUUUUAAAGUGGUCCCUAAAGUUUUUCAAUGUGGGACACAGUUUUAAAACCAGUGAAAUAAUUUAUUGUAAGCCCCAGAAAACUUACCUCCAGAAUCAAAAGCAGGAGCCACAAGUAGCAGAGGGGAGCGAGAGGAGGGAAGGGAUGUGGAGAUGGGAAGGACACUGGAAUGAGACAAACAUGUAUGAUUAUACUACCGGUGUGACUCUGCACCAUGUUCAGCCAGAAAAAUGAGAAGUUGUGCUUCAUUUGUGUAUAAUGUGUCAAAAUGCAUUCUACUAUCUUGUAUAACUAAUUGGAAUGAAUAUUUUAAAAAAAACCUUUGUUAUACAAUCAUAUACUUGGACUUAGAGUAGUAUAAUAGAUGUCACAAUGAUAAAGUUCUUUUCCUCUUGUACUGUUCCAGGUUUGAAAGCAAAACUAAAACAUCAAUUUUUCUUCAUAAUUCUUUGAUUUCCCCAUAAUGUCUAAUGCAUUUUUUCUCAUUCUUCAAAACAAAUUCUCCUCUUUCCUUAAAUCUCCAGGUGCAUCUUACCNACCUGCACUGAUGAUCA